rnacentral:rRNA from 1 species
AGGGUUCGAUUCUGGCUCAGGAUGAACGCUGGCGGCGUGCUUAACACAUGCAAGUCGAACGGGAUCCAUCAGGCUUUGCUUGGUGGUGAGAGUGGCGAACGGGUGAGUAAUGCGUGACCGACCUGCCCCAUACACCGGAAUAGCUCCUGGAAACGGGUGGUAAUGCCGGAUGCUCCAGUUGAUCGCAUGGUCUUCUGGGAAAGCUUUCGCGGUAUGGGAUGGGGUCGCGUCCUAUCAGCUUGACGGCGGGGUAACGGCCCACCGUGGCUUCGACGGGUAGCCGGCCUGAGAGGGCGACCGGCCACAUUGGGACUGAGACACGGCCCAGACUCCUACGGGAGGCAGCAGUGGGGAAUAUUGCACAAUGGGCGCAAGCCUGAUGCAGCGACGCCGCGUGAGGGAUGGAGGCCUUCGGGUUGUAAACCUCUUUUAUCGGGGAGCAAGCGAGAGUGAGUUUACCCGUUGAAUAAGCACCGGCUAACUACGUGCCAGCAGCCGCGGUAAUACGUAGGGUGCAAGCGUUAUCCGGAAUUAUUGGGCGUAAAGGGCUCGUAGGCGGUUCGUCGCGUCCGGUGUGAAAGUCCAUCGCUUAACGGUGGAUCCGCGCCGGGUACGGGCGGGCUUGAGUGCGGUAGGGGAGACUGGAAUUCCCGGUGUAACGGUGGAAUGUGUAGAUAUCGGGAAGAACACCAAUGGCGAAGGCAGGUCUCUGGGCCGUUACUGACGCUGAGGAGCGAAAGCGUGGGGAGCGAACAGGAUUAGAUACCCUGGUAGUCCACGCCGUAAACGGUGGAUGCUGGAUGUGGGGCCCGUUCCACGGGUUCCGUGUCGGAGCUAACGCGUUAAGCAUCCCGCCUGGGGAGUACGGCCGCAAGGCUAAAACUCAAAGAAAUUGACGGGGGCCCGCACAAGCGGCGGAGCAUGCGGAUUAAUUCGAUGCAACGCGAAGAACCUUACCUGGGCUUGACAUGUUCCCGACGGUCGUAGAGAUACGGCUUCCCUUCGGGGCGGGUUCACAGGUGGUGCAUGGUCGUCGUCAGCUCGUGUCGUGA